UACAGAGGUCUCAAGCGUUGUUCGGAUUCAUUGGGCGUAAAGGGUGCGUAGGUGGUGCUGUAAGUCAGGUGUGAAAUCUCGGGGCUCAACCCCGAAACUGCACUUGAUACUGCGGUGCUUGAGGACUGGAGAGGAGAUCGGAAUUCAUGGUGUAGCAGUGAAAUGCGUAGAUAUCAUGAGGAAGACCAGUGGCGAAGGCGGCUUACUGGUCCGGUUCUGACGCUGAGGCGCGAAAGCGUGGGGAGCAAACAGG
rnacentral:rRNA from 1 species